rnacentral:rRNA from 1 species
AUUGAGAACAAUGUACAAUCGUUAUCGAUAAACAAUUGGAGGGCAAGUCUGGUGCCAGCAGCCGCGGUAAUUCCAGCUCCAAUAGCGUAUAUUAACGUUGUUGCAGUUAAAAAGCUCGUAGUUGAAGUUUAGAUAAUUUAUUGAAAGUGUUUGUAUUCGUACAUUCUACUUUUAUGUAAGUUAUCGACAUCCAGGUGGGUGCCAUGGUUCCGCAAGGAAUUGUGGUACUAGACUGGUCAUUUACUGUGAGAAAAUUAGAGUGUUUAAAGCAGACUUUUAUUCAAGUUGAAUAAAUUAACCUGGAAUAAUAAGAAUGGCUUUCAUAAACGAAUUUUUGGGUUGGUUAUGAAAGCAAGAAUAAUAAGGAAAGUUGGGGGUAAUCAUAAUUAAUAACUAGAGGGGAAAUUCCAUGAAUUAUGGAAGAAGAACUAAUGGGAAAGCAAUUACCAAGGAAGGUUUCAUUAAUCAAUAACGAAAGCUAGGGGAACAAAGAAGAAUAAAUACCCUCCGAAUCUUAACUAUAAACGAAACCCACUAAGAAGUAGUAAAUGAACCAAUGGGGGCUAUUAAUAACUUAAGAAAAAACAAAGUCCUUGGGUUCCGGGGGGAAGAAGGGCGGCAGGGUGAAACUUAAAGGAAAUGAAUGAAGGGCACCACCAGGAGUGGAAGCUGCCGGCUAAUUUGACUCAACACGGGGAAACUUACCAGGUCCAGACAUAGGGAGGAAUGACCGAAUGAUAGCUCCUUCUUGAUUCUAUGGGUGGUGGUGCAGGACGUUCUUAGUUGAUGAAUGAUUUGUCUGGAUUAUUCCGACAACGACGAUACUUCCGCCUACUAGUAGGACGAAAUGGGAUUUUUAGUCCCCUUGUUAUUUCUUCUCCUAAAAAGGGGACAAUUGUGUUUAGUAUAUAGGAUAAUGCUGUAAAUAAUAAGGGGUGUUGAUGCCCUCAAUAGCUCUUCC